AUACUUACCUGGACGGGGUCAAUGGGCGAUCAAGAAGGCCCAUGGCCUAGACGAGUGACCUCCAUUGCACUUGGGAAGGGUGCUGGCCUAAGGUCCACCCAAGUGGUGGGUCCUCCGUCAUAAUUUGUGGUAGUGGGGCAUGCGUUCGCGCGGCCCCUUC
rfam:Cicer arietinum chromosome Ca3, whole genome shotgun sequence.